ensembl:lncRNA
UUUACAGACAUUUUCAUGCUUAGUCUCAGAGAUCAGAGCAAUAAUAUCCACCGGGAGGUGCUUUUUGAGAACCAGGAGUUGGGUCGUGUGCAGGAUGAGCUGGGUGUCGUUCAGCAGAAUGUUCUCUCUCUUUUGACGUCUUUACAGUCGGAGUCAGCUGCUCAACACUUACAGGUUGGUGCCUGUGUUUGACAGGCAGGCUGUCUGUUUCUGCAGCCCUUGGUGUUGAUAUUGUGUUCACUGUGUUGUAUUGCACUGUAGGAAGUCAAAGUGGAGUUGGUUUCCCAGAAGGCUCGACUGCAGGAUGUCAUGGACAGAGUGCAGAAGAAAUGGAGCUGUGUGCCUACAGAGAUUCAAAUCGUACACAAUGAGCUCAACGUCUCCAUGCAGGAGGCCCAAGACAAAUUGGUCAUGGUCAUGGAGAGAAGUGGUCCUCUCUGCAAAAUGGGUGAGCUGGUUGGAGAGGUGAGGGUGGGCUUGAAUUGUGUGCAGGCCCUGCUGAAGCAAACAAGUCCUAAUUUUUCUGAAGCUGAACAUACACAAAAGGUACUUCUUUCUGGCUUGCCUUCAUGUGAACAUUAUUGAAAAUAUCUUUCUAUCAGUUGCUUAGUUUUUCUUUUCUCUCUCUUUACUUAGUUUUGCAUAUUACUUAAACAUUCUUUUAAUGUAUUCUUACUCUAUAAUUGUAAAAAUAUAAGUACAAAACAAACAAAUUAUGGUGCCAUUUUCAUUGUAAACAACGUUUAAUAUAAAUGGCAAAACUAAUUAAUGUAUAAUGAAACUGAAACUACCGGUGUGUGAGAAAUGUGCUGUCAAAAAAAAAAGAAUCUUUUCAGAUUUUAAAAGUCUUGUAGUAUAUUCCAGCCUCAAACCUGGGUUCACAUACUUCUCUCCUUCAACACAAAUCCAAAUGUGUGCGGUUUGCAUGUUUUUAAUACUUGACGCUAAUUGCAUUAUAUAAUAGAGAGAGAGAGAGAGAGAGAAUAUAUGAACACUUGGUAAAAUGUCUAAAAUUCUUUACAUUUUUAAAAUGUACAAAAUAUAAUUAAGAAAUAAAAAAAAUAAAAAAAGAAUAAAAGUGAAAUAU